GAUUCUCAGCAACGGAUAUCUCGACUCAUGAAAAACAUAAAAUGUGAUAUUUGAUGUGAAUUACAGAAUCAUGAGCUAUCUAGUCCUAGAAGACAUCUUGUUAGAAGUUCCAAUUCCACCAAACUACAAGCGUAAGAGAGGCU
rfam:Glycine soja cultivar W05 scaffold1718_8, whole genome shotgun sequence.